rnacentral:snRNA from 1 species
GUGCUCACUUUUGCAGCACAUAUACUGAAAUUGGAAAGAGGCAGGGAAGAUUAGCAUGGCCUCUGAGCAAGGAAGACAUGCAAGUUUAUGAUGUUCAUAUUUUU